rnacentral:rRNA from 1 species
UAACCUGCCCAAGAGAUCGGGAUAACACCUGGAAACAGAUGCUAGUACCGGAUAACAACAGAUGAUGCCUAUCAACUGUUUAAAAGAUGGUUCUGCUAUCACUCUUGGAUGGACCUGCGGUGCAUUAGCCAGUUGGUAGGGUAACGGCCUACCAAGGCGAUGAUGCAUAGCCGAGUUGAGAGACUGAUCGGCCACAUUGGGACUGAGACACGGCCCAAACUCCUACGGGAGGCAGCAGCC